rnacentral:lncRNA from 1 species
UGAAAGGGUCAAUGAAGGAUGUCAGCAGUUUGGGUGGCCUGUCUGAGCGCCCACUUUGGAAGCCCGAGCAGGACACCUAGAUGGCUUAUGAUGCCCCCCAGUACAAAGCUGUAUAUUCUAGUUGUAGGUUCCUCUGCUUGUGCUACAUGGGACGCCACCUCAACAUGGCUUGAUGAGCAGUGCCCUGUCCACACCCAAGAUCUGAACCAACAAAACCCUGGGCCGCCGAAGCAGAGCACGCGAACUUAACCACUCGGCCACUGGGCCGGCCCCCCAUAAUAACAAUUUUUAACUGACCUCUGAAUUUCUCCUGAAUAAAGCAGCCUCUCUCUCUUGCGGCUCCACAUCCCCACAAUGACUGCUUUCUUCUCCAUCCCUGUCCGCUCCAAGAAAAGCUAUAAGAAAUGUCCA